GGAAUUUUGCGCAAUGGGGGAAACCCUGACGCAGCAACGCCGCGUGAGUGAAGAAGCAUCUUGGUGUGUAAAGCUCUGUCGACAGGGACUAAGAACUUUUGUUUAAGAGAUGGAAGUUUUGAAGGUACCUGUAGAGGAAGCCCCGGCUAACUCCGUGCCAGCAGCCGCGGUAAUACGGGGGGGGCAAGCGUUCUUCGGAAUUACUGGGCGUAAAGGGCGCGUAGGCGGUCCGUUAAGUGAGAAGUGAAAGCCCAUGGCUCAACCGUGGAUGUGCUUCUCAUACUGGCGAACUAGAGUAUGGGAGAGGAAAGUGGAAUUCCCGGUGUAGCGGUGAAAUGCGUAGAGAUCGGGAGGAACACCAGUGGCGAAGGCGACUUUCUGGACCAACACUGACGCUGAGGCGCGAAAGCGUGGGGAGCAAAC
rnacentral:rRNA from 1 species